CUGGACUGCGGGCGUGCUUACACAUGCAGUCGAACGAUGAAGCCCUUCGGGGUGGAUUAGUGGCGAACGGGUGAGUAACACGUGGGCAAUCUGCCCUUCACUCUGGGACAAGCCCUGGAAACGGGGUCUAAUACCGGAUAACACUCCUGCCUGCAUGGGCGGGGGUUAAAAGCUCCGGCGGUGAAGGAUGAGCCCGCGGCCUAUCAGCUUGUUGGUGGGGUAAUGGCCUACCAAGGCGACGACGGGUAGCCGGCCUGAGAGGGCGACCGGCCACACUGGGACUGAGACACGGCCCAGACUCCUACGGGAGGCAGCAGUGGGGAAUAUUGCACAAUGGGCGAAAGCCUGAUGCAGCGACGCCGCGUGAGGGAUGACGGCCUUCGGGUUGUAAACCUCUUUCAGCAGGGAAGAAGCGCAAGUGACGGUACCUGCAGAAGAAGCACCGGCUAACUACGUGCCAGCAGCCGCGGUAAUACGUAGGGUGCGAGCGUUGUCCGGAAUUAUUGGGCGUAAAGAGCUCGUAGGCGGCUUGUCACGUCGGAUGUGAAAGCCCGGGGCUUAACCCCGGGUCUGCAUUCGAUACGGGCAGGCUAGAGUGUGGUAGGGGAGAUCGGAAUUCCUGGUGUAGCGGUGAAAUGCGCAGAUAUCAGGAGGAACACCGGUGGCGAAGGCGGAUCUCUGGGCCAUUACUGACGCUGAGGAGCGAAAGCGUGGGGAGCGAACAGGAUUAGAUACCCUGGUAGUCCACGCCGUAAACGUUGGGAACUAGGUGUUGGCGACAUUCCACGUCGUCGGUGCCGCAGCUAACGCAUUAAGUUCCCCGCCUGGGGAGUACGGCCGCAAGGCUAAAACUCAAAGGAAUUGACGGGGCCCGCACAAGCAGCGGAGCAUGUGGCUUAAUUCGACGCAACGCGAAGAACCUUACCAAGCUUGACAUAUACCGGAAGCAUCAGAGAUGUGCCCCCUUGUGGUCGGUAUACAGUGUGCAUGCUGUCGUCAGCUCGUGUCGUGAGAUGUAGGUAGUCCUGCACGAGCGCACCCAUGUCUGUGUGGCAGCAUGCCAUUUCGGGUGAUGGGACUGCACAGAACUGGCUGGUUCAGCUCGAGCAGUUGGGACGACGGUCAGUCAUCAUGUCCUAUGUCUUGGCUGAACGGUCGCAAUGUGUACAAUGACUGCAGUUCCUGAGGCGGACGAAGAC
rnacentral:rRNA from 1 species